AUGCCAAAAUCCAAAAUCCAAAAUCCAAAUCCUCCAGAACGACCGAAAACGAUGGCGGAAUUUUAUGGGAAACCAAAUCCCGCAUACGUGUACGUGCCGCCCGGACAUGAUCCCCUAAAGAUGUCGACACGGGAAAGAGUGAUUAGGCUCUUUUUAGAGAUUGCCACUUGUAUCAGCUGCAAAAAGACGACCACAGCUCCGUUCUGGGCAUGCAAACUAGAUCAUGUCCUGUGUACCGUUUGUCAGGGGAGGGACUCUCGGAGACGAUGUCCUCUUUGCCGUAACAUGUUACGAAGAAACCGAAUGUUGGAUCGCUUCGAGAAAGCCAUUUUUGAUGAGAUCAAGAUUUUUCGCGGCCCCCAUCAAGGACAACUCUGAUUCAGAACUUCUGGGAAGUUCGGGGGGGCCAAAAUGAAGCGGGUCCCCCUUGAUCGCCUUGGUUACCAAAUUUUAGUGUCGAAUCAAUCUCUGUCCCAUUCCUGUGUCUAAAAUCUCCGUCUUAAAAUCUAGUUUUAAAUUUCCUUUCGUCUUUAUAUUUUCCUGCAAAUAAAAAGGUAAAAGCACCAAAUCUACUAGUUCAAAUCCUUCAAAAUUUCAGUAAUGGCACCCCGAACUGCAACAUUGCAAAGGAAAAAUUUGCUGGCUCAAACUAUUUGACAUAUCAACAAUUAGGAUUUAACAUAGGUACUUUUCCAAAAUUAAAGUUAAAUUUAUCACUGAAGGAGAGGUUGCUGUGGGAGGCGCAACAAAAGAAUACCUCUCAGAGUUGAUGGAGUAUAUAACAGCAUGCAAGAUAUUUGAGGGGUCUGCCUCCUCAAAAUACCUCACAUUUAACCAAAGUUGCGUUGACGAAAGCGAAAAGCAUGCGCCUCCGUGUGGUUGAGGUUAUAGUUAUGCCAAUGUUGAAUGGUGGCCCUGGACCCAACUGCUUCUCACAUGCACUCUUCAGAAGUUUGUACUAUGAUCUCGAUGGAAAAUCAAACUGUAUGAACAGCGAUCAACAUUUCAUUGUUUUAGAUUUUUUUCACUGGAAGUAUUUCCCAUCCAUUUCAGGCAAAAAAAGUUAAAAUAUUUUCUCCUCUUUCACAAAGUGUGUAAGUAGAAUCACUUUAACUGCAUUCAAUGUUGCCUCAUUUCCUCUCCUUAGCCGUUAAAUUGAUUUCUAACAAAUAAUUACACUUGGCACGCAUUCCCUAAUUUUUUUUUUUUUUAGAUUGCGAUGAAUAUUCUUUCUAAACAAGUCAGAAUGUUAAUUACGACGUUCCUGGUAAAAAAUGAGACUUGAGCAAAAAUUUGGCAGUUCCGCGAAGCCUCAGUUAGCCUGAUUCUGCUGAAAUCUGCUCUGCCCGAUUUAUAUGUCAAUAAUCCUAAAACUAUAUUUUUGUUCCGUCUGUUAAAAGGUAAGGAGGAAAGAAUCUUCUUUUGCAUUUCUUCAUUACCUUACGUAUUGAGACCUACAGCUGUGGACAAGAAGAACAAGUUAACGAAAAGAGAAGUGAAAGAGGCAUUUUUUUUGCAAAUUGCUUGGCUGCUGUUGCUGCAGUAACUACAAAGAAGAAGACGCGGAUCCGCACUACGGACAAAAACAAAAGCAUACUUAUUGAUUACAUGUCUAAUCACUCCAAAUUUGCUAAGAGUGGGUUGCCCCCCGGGAAGCAGGCGGUGGAAAACGCUAAACGCAUGUGGAAAGAACUCGUUGAUUCACUGAACGCUCACGGCCCAAGAAGGACCCAAAAGCAAUGGCUAAAGGUAAGUUUGCUAUCAUAUUGACUUCCAGGGCAAAAUUCAAGACGGGCAGGAAGUGUUUGGAGAUAUGUUUGAAGAUCUGAUAUAUGACUAUAUCGAAAAGAGGCUGACCAACUGCUGAGACAAGCGCCAAAAUUGACGUCCAAAGCGUUGUUUCCUAGAAAUUUUUGGUACGUUAAUUUAGCAGAUGGGUUACGUUCCAAAUUCAUCUAUUCGAUGCAUCGUGAAAAAUCCA
rnacentral:lncRNA from 1 species